CCGCAGCCCUCAGCCACCCAGCUCACCAGCCAGGCCUGAGCCCUCCGGAGCUGCACUUCUCAGCCGGACCCGAGGCGCACACGCUGUACCGCACGGUAGUCAGAACCACCACACUCACCAGGAAUCUGAUGAAGAGUUCGACAAUUAGCUUUCAAGAAUACAACUGUCAUAUCCCAGAAUUGGAGCAUGAUUCAAAAGCCUAUUGGUUGUCCUUCGUGGAAAGGGAGGGACUUUAACAAAAUAUUGUUGAUUGGCUGUCUUAAAAGCCACAGAAGAGUACUUGUUUUGAAGCCAGGCAAUUCCAAGAUCAAGACAUUGUGGAUUCUGAAUUUCAGUGUGUCUGGUGUGGGCCCCCAACCCAAAUUUGGUAAACGAGGUCUUUGGUACGCAUCCUCACAGGCUGGAGUGGCAAGGCAGCUGUUUGACAUGCUUUGUCAACUCCAUUCCUGAGAGCUCCAUCCCCAAGACCUAAUCUCUUCCCAUAGGCCAGGCUACUGACAUUGGUGACUUCAUUCGUCAUCUAUGUCUGAGGUAGUAGACACGGACAUACAGACUAUAGAACUCAAGCUGCCUAUCCCUGUUCUCGUUAGACUUCUGUUUCUGUAUCUGCCUAAGAAAAAUGCUGCAAACCCCGAAUGGCACAGAGUAAGCAAGAGAAUCUCAGAACUGCAAGGCACCAUUCACCUGAGAGGAAUUUGACAAACCCCACAUUGAAUCUAAAAAAUACCUUCAAAGUAAGAAUUAAAUGCACUCGGCCCUAUGAGGAAACUCACCAAACAAGACAAAUUAAUGGAGUCGCGUCACCGUGCAAUAAUCUUUGGGUUUUACUAACUACAGAAAAGUCGCGCAUGAAUGGCCCUCGUGAGAACGUGGAGAAUAUGUGGAGUGUGAUAGAGGCCCAUUCUCCUAGCCUAGAUUGCCAAGUGUAUCCAGUGAAGCCUCUGAUUUAAAAUGGUGGAAUGAAUACGCUCAGGGGACGCAUUCGGCAUUGUGAGUGCUGUAAUUCAAGGUACGUGAAAAACAGCCAUCUCCAAGGAGCCAGAGGAUUGAAUUGUAGGGAACAGUGCUGGUAUUUCUGUUUCUAAGCUAUUUAAAAUUUAACAAAUUUGACAAAUUCACAUGCAGAAUUUGUUAAUAUCAUAAAUAUAAUCCACCUAUGACUAUGCCAAUAGCUAUAGAUCUUCAACUACUUAGGGUAUUAAUCUUCUCUAUAUUUUCAAAAUAUUACCCUACAAAAUAUCUUUAUUAAAUCAAGUUUAAC
rnacentral:lncRNA from 1 species